AGCCCGGCCGUGCACCGCGUCGAGGUGGCCCUGCGGCUCAAGGGCGUUCCCUACGAGUUCAUCCAGGAGGACCUCAACAACAAGAGUGAGCUGCUGCUGGAGCACAACCCCGUGCACCGCAAGGUGCCGGUGCUCCUCCACGGCGGCCGCCGGCCGGCCCUCUGCGAGUCGCUGGUCAUCGUCGAGUACGUCGACGAGGCCUUCCCCCGUGGCCCCGCUCUCCUGCCGGCCGACCCGCUUCAUCGACGACGAGUGCGGGGCGUGCACGUGGGUGGCGCUGUGGGGGGAGGGCGAGGGAGGCGGUUCUUCGGCGGCGACCACGUCGGCUUCCUCGACGUCGCCGCCAGCGGGCUCGCGUGCUGGCUGGGGGUGUUCGAGGAGAUGGCCGGGGUGGCGCUGCUCGCCGAGGACGAGCACCCGGCGCUGUGCCGGUGGGCGAGGGAGUACGUCGCGGACGAGGCCGUCAGGGGGUGCCUGCGUGACAGGGAGGCGCUGCUCGCCGCGCUGGCCGCCAGGGAGGACAAGUACGUGUCCACCGCCAGGGCAAUGGCUCACAAGUAG
rnacentral:rRNA from 1 species